rnacentral:snoRNA from 1 species
UCGACCGUAAGUACCGUACCGACGACUUGUCCUGUGGCUGCAAUGUAGGCAAGCACUUCAGUCUGGUUGAUGCAUUCUGACCUCUGGCCAGAGCAUGAUUAACGGCCUGGAUCACCUGAUGGGUGCCAUCCGACGGCUGUAGAGGAUCGUUCCUCUCCAGUUCACAUUGGUGCAGGGUGGCUCAGAGGUUGUCUGACAGACU